UACGUAGGGGGCGAGCGUUAUCCGGAUUCAUUGGGCGUAAAGCGCGCGUAGGCGGCCGCCUAAGCGGAACCUCUAACCCGGGGGCUCAACCUCGGGCCGGGUUCCGGACUGGGCGGCUCGAGUGCGGUAGAGGAGAGCGGAAUUCCCGGUGUAGCGGUGGAAUGCGCAGAUAUCGGGAAGAACACCGAUGGCGAAGGCAGCUCUCUGGGCCGUCACUGACGCUGAGGCGCGAAAGCUGGGGGAGCGAACAGG
rnacentral:rRNA from 1 species